UGGUGUAGCGGUGAAAUGCUUAGAUAUCACGAAGAACUCCGAUUGCGAAGGCAGCUUACUGGACUGUAACUGACGCUGAUGCUCGAAAGUGUGGGUAUCAAACAGGAUUAGAUACCCUGGUAGUCCACACAGUAAACGAUGAAUACUCGCUGUUUGCGAUAUACAGUAAGCGGCCAAGCGAAAGCGUUAAGUAUUCCACCUGGGGAGUACGCCGGCAACGGUGAAACUCAAAGGAAUUGACGGGGGCCCGCACAAGCGGAGGAACAUGUGGUUUAAUUCGAUGAUACGCGAGGAACCUUACCCGGGCUUAAAUUGCAAAUGAAUUAUGGGGAAACCCAUACGCCGCAAGGCAUUUGUGAAGGUGCUGCAUGGUUGUCGUCAGCUCGUGCCGUGAGGUGUCGGCUUAAGUGCCAUAACGAGCGCAACCCUUAUCGUUAGUUACUAACAGGUCAUGCUGAGGACUCUAGAGAGACUGCCGUCGUAAGAUGUGAGGAAGGUGGGGAUGACGUCAAAUCAGCACGGCCCUUACGUCCGGGGCUACACACGUGUUACAAUGGGGGGUACAGAAGGCAGCUACCUGGUGACAGGAUGCUAAUCCCAAAAGCCUCUCUCAGUUCGGAUCGAAGUCUGCAACCCGACUUCGUGAAGCUGGAUUCGCUAGUAAUCGCGCAUCAGCCAUGGCGCGGUGAAUACGUUCCCGGGCCUUGUACACACCGCCCGUCAAGCCAUGAAAGCCGGGGGUACCUGAAGUACGUAACCGCAAGGAGCGUCCUAGGGUAAAACUGGUAAUUGGGGCUAAGUCGUAACAAGGUAGCCGUACCGGAAGGUGCGGCUG
rnacentral:rRNA from 1 species